rnacentral:lncRNA from 1 species
GGAAAUGCCAACUAGCCAACAGAAAGGUUCACGAGCUCAGAGCCUAUUAGCAACGGGGCCUUGUGAAGCUGGGGAGGGGAGGCGCCGUGGGAAAAGAAGGGCUUGCUCACCGGAGACCUGCUAAGAUGUGAUGCCUCUUUCCCUCCCAGAGUCACGUACAUUCUCGGUGUUCCCAUCUCAUCUGUAGAUGCUGAAGGUCACUUUAAGAAGGCAUUUUCAGGGACAAUUGCCCUUAGAUAAAACGUUUAUUAUGUGAUUAAGUAAGCAUGUUCAAAUCAAGUGGAAGAUGACAUUUCCGUUUAUAGAUAACGCUAGGAUAUCAGAAUAUUUGUAAACAUCUAGCAAAGCAGCAAACUGA